GGGGGCGUAGCUCAGCUGGAAGAGCACCUGCCUUGCACGCAGGAGGCCAGCGGUUCGAGUCCGCUCGCCUCCA
rnacentral:tRNA from 1 species